AAGAAAAUGUACUUGAUGAAGAGGAGAAUGAAGGAGUUGAUAAAGUCUCAAAAUCCGCCAAAUUUUGUGAUGGCUGGCUUGCAAGUUUGCAGUAUACUGCAGAAAUGCAUCUUACGAUGUCCUCCGAAAGUUUGCAAGAGAUCUUUGGCACAUAUUCAGCGAUUGAAGCACUCAAGAAAUUUGCAAGGCUAGAAUGUCCUGAAGAUGAUCUCGACAGCCCCUGUGAAAAACAUGAAAGAUAGAUUUUCUCAGUUUGAGAGAUUUUGACAGAAAACCAUAUGUUUGUGCCUGAGCUAAAACCUGUACUUUGAAGAGGAAAAAGAUAUAACUGAAACUGGCACAAACUGUAUAGUUCUGAAAAUUGAUCCAUCCAAGGUGCAAGGCAUGUACCUGGGUAGAAACACGAGGGGAUACACCUAGGUGUUGAUCAAAUGCUGCCCUGUAGAGGGAAAGCAAAUGCAGUUCCUUGCGAACAACUUCCUCCUCAAGGGCUGCUAUCUCCCAAACUAAGUCUGCAAUAGACUGCAGGAACCACAAGAUAAGAAGAUGAAUGGCUAGCUCUUGGUGUUUCUGCACAACAAAUGGUUGUUUCCAUGAACACCUCUGAUGCUGCGUCUUCCAUGGAUUCCUAGACCUUCAGUCACCAAGAACCUACCACCAAUCAAGAGCAAGAAAGUAUUGCAAUCCUAUUCAGUUCUCCAUAACUAGCUGAAGAGAAGGAGAAGAAUAAUCCAAUUACCGAAACUAAUGAACUUACCAGGCUGAUAUAUCAUGAGCUGUUGCUAUGCAGUGUAGCUAGCAAUGAGCAGAACAGAAGAAGAAGGCCAUGAUUCAGCUUGGUCUGGAUGAUGAGAAAUCUUCACUCUCUCUCCCAACUCCAAUCCCCCAGCUUCUACAGAACUCAGCAAAGGGUCUGAAGAACAGAAGGAAAUGCAAAUUCUCCUUGGUACUAGAGUAGAGACAAGAAUAAUGAAGAACAGCAGAAAUGAUGGGCAGGAGAUGUCCUGGACUCCUGGUUGCCAGUACUACUUCUCCAACCUAUGCUGAUAGAUAAUAAUGGCCAGGAAGCUGAUAUUUAAGACUGGAUGAGAAGAGUAGGAUUAAUAGCAAGAAGAGGUGGUGACCCACAAGGCCAAAGAAGCAAAGGAAAGCAAAUGAAACCUGCAUGAAGAUAUGGUCAGGAAAAGGAUGACCAAAGAAAGCAGAGUUUAAAAGGAAGCAAAGC
rnacentral:sRNA from 1 species